CCACAAGAGAGUUAUGUAACAAGAGGUUAAAAAAAAACAUUACGCAGGUCAGUGAAACAUUGGAGUCGGAGAAGCCAGACAGAAAACCAGCAGCAAGCAGAAUAUCGUUUGAUCAAGACAAGAUGGAUGCACCUGGUCGACCAGAGCUGGUUGAUUUCCAUGGAAUCUCAAUGACCAAAAUUUUCACUGACAACUGGGAGAACAUUCAAAACUUUCAGGCCAGGCCAGAUGAUAUUCUUAUUGCGACAUAUGCCAAAGCAGGGACCACAUGGGUCUCCCAAAUCCUUGACCUGUUGUAUUUUGGUCAGAUGGAGCGUCACAAAACCCUCCCUAUCUAUGAGAGAGUGCCUUUCUUGGAUGUUUACAUCCCGCCUCACAUGUCAGGAACAGAGCAAGCAAACAAUCUUCCCACCUCCCCUCGACUGAUUAAAACUCAUUUGCCAUACCAGUUAGUGCCAAAGUCCUUCUGGGAGCAAAACUGCCGGAUUGUCUAUGUAGCACGCAAUGCAAAAGACAACAUGGUGUCUUAUUACCACUUCAAUCGCAUGAACCUGGUUCAGCCAGCAGCUGGAGACUGGAACAGCUUUUUCAAGCAAUUCAUGGAAGGAAAAAUGGUGUUUGGACCCUGGUACGACCACGUGAAUGGCUGGUGGAAGAAGAAGCAGAUUUAUCCAAAAAUUCAUUACAUGUUCUAUGAAGAUAUGAUUGAGGACACUGGACGGGAAAUAGACAAACUCUGCUCCUUUCUUGGUUUGUCUCCUUCAGCUGAAGAGAAGAGAAUGAUAGUUGGUGGAACGCAGUUUAAUAACAUGAAAAAGAAUGAGAUGGCCAACUAUUCCACAAUCCCACUGAUGGAUUUCAAAAUUUCUCCCUUCAUGAGAAAAGGGAAGGUUGGUGACUGGAAGAACCACUUCACUGUGGCUCAGAAUGAAGAGUUUGAUGAAGACUACAAGCAAAAGAUGAAGGAUCCCACACUUCAGUUCCGUACUACAAUCUGAGCAGGACCAGACACACUGUGUGUAUGUAAAGACGGGUCCAUGACGGACCAGAUGUGGUACUGCUGGACAGUAGUAGAGGUGUUCAGGAAUUUUAUAUUUUUUGUGAUUUUAUAUAAAUUCAAACUAGAAAUUUUAUAUUAUGAAGCACCAAAAAAUCAAAAUGAAUGUCUUUCAAAACAGAGAAUAUAUGUGCAAUAAACUGAAUGCACAAUUAUGCAAUAAACCAAAAAAGCUGUAUGACCGUAAAUUGUGUUGACACUGAUACUUUGAGUUGAAAAUAACUUCAGUAUGAGAAUUCAAUUGAAAAUAAUUCAAUUACAUCCAUAUUUUUCAUUUAUAGUAGUAUAUAGUGCAAUAAAACAAUACCUUAUUUCUGUUGUUCAUAUUAUUUUCUUCUACUGUAUGUGUGGGACAUUUCAAAAAUAAGGUAAAAAGAACAAAGGAUAUUGACUCUUGUACUUGAUUCAAUCUCUCUUGCCAUCUCUGAGUCGAAGACAAUAAUGCAUAUAUGAGAACUUGUGAUGUACUAUUUAGACAUCCAUGAAAGGAAAUCUUCCAUUUCAUUGGGAAAUCGAGGUCAAAGAGUCUGAAGGAAGAAUGGAGAGGCACAGAGUCCAAGGAGUUUAAAGUCCAGUGUGAAGUUUUCAAUCUGCAAUGAUUUUGGGUGCUACAUCAUCUGCUGAGGUUGAUCUGUUUUGUUUUAUCAAGUCCAGAGAUGUCUAGUACAGGACUUCAGAGCACUCAGUGCUUCCAUCUGCUGACAAGCUUUAUGGAGAUUCCAGAAGACUGUGUUUUUCUGGCCAUAAUAUUACUGUGCUUGAUGUGACAACCAGCUGACAUGAACCCCAUAAGUGGUGUUGUCAGUAGAAAGAUGAAAAACACUCGACUCAAAAACACAGACGAGCUGAAGGUCGCUAUCAAAACCUGUGCUUUUGUAACACCUGAGCAGUAGUAAAGGCUGAUCACCUCUACAUCACACCGCAUUGAUGUAGACGUUUGUAGGAAAGGAGCCCUAACCAAGAAUUGACUGUAUAAAUGAAUAUGCUUUUCAGAAGUAAGAGAUUUCUCUAUUGCAAAUCCUUCUUUUGAUUGAUCUUGGGAACUUUUCUCAUAAUUUGAGUUAUUGGAUGUCUGAUUUUUAUGAGCCAGCUAUCAAAUAUUCUGCAUAAAGAACAAACUUCAACACCUAGUUCUAAAAACUGUAGCCAUUCUUUCAAGGUUGGCUCCACUCAAAUGAGCUCAAUAAUAUCCUUGUUAGUACGCUGUUAUUUGACGGGAGCUGUAGAUUUUCUAUGUUAACAAAAUAUGUGUCAAAAUCACAGAGACUGAGAGCGUGCAAACAGAGAGACCACUGAUGAUGUCUGUGUGACGUUUUAAUGACAUCGAGUGGUAAAGUGCAAGGAUUUUAAAGCCAUCCAUGAAAUGUAUCUUUUCUUCGUGAUGCCUAAAACUCCUGAGGCAGCCUUGUGAACCACUUUCUGCUUAGUCUAAUGUUUCCUAACAAUCAAGCACGAGGAAUUCAGACACCAAGGAAAACCAGAUAAUGAUUUAAAGCAAAAAAGUUAAAGAUAUUUGUAAUUUCAUACUAUGAUGUGUCGUUGACGAGUAAAAAUGCUGUAAUCUUGAUAAUACCAUUGAGUUUCUUUGGCCAUAAUAGGAAUCUGACUCGGUGUUUAGUGCGUAACUGAAAACACUGAUAAGCAGACAAAUUUAAUGAAGGAUAAAACUAUUUUUAAAGUAUGCUUAAGGAGUCAAAUAUAAACAAGUGGAGCAAAUCAAAGCUGUUAUACAACAAAAAUAUUUACAGUGCUUUAUCAGUGAGCUGCUGUACAGGAAUGUACAAAGUAUUUGUCUACGAUUGUGCAACAUCCCACAGUAUGUAAAUAAAACUGUCUGAAAUGCGCAAAAGGAUAAGAAUGAUCUUAUUUUCAAGUUGUCCAACAUUACUCAUGAUAGAUAAACCAUUUCAUCUUACACUCUUA